GACGAACGCUGGCGGCGUGCUUAACACAUGCAAGUCGAGCGGAAAGGCCCUGCUUUUGUGGGGUGCUCGAGUGGCGAACGGGUGAGUAACACGUGAGUAACCUGCCCUUGACUUUGGGAUAACUUCAGGAAACUGGGGCUAAUACCGGAUAGGAGCUCCUGCUGCAUGGUGGGGGUUGGAAAGUUUCGGCGGUUGGGGAUGGACUCGCGGCUUAUCAGCUUGUUGGUGGGGUAGUGGCUUACCAAGGCUUUGACGGGUAGCCGGCCUGAGAGGGUGACCGGCCACAUUGGGACUGAGAUACGGCCCAGACUGCUACGGGAGGCAGCAGUGGGGAAUAUUGCACAAUGGGCGGAAGCCUGAUGCAGCAACGCCGCGUGCGGGAUGACGGCCUUCGGGUUGUAAACCGCUUUCGCCUGUGACGAAGCGUGAGUGACGGUAAUGGGUAAAGAAGCACCGGCUAACUACGUG
rnacentral:rRNA from 1 species